AGCGAACGCUGGCGGCAGGCUUAACACAUGCAAGUCGAGCGGGCACCCUGGUGGUGUCGGCGCCAGAGGGGUGAGUGACGCGUAAGAACGUGCCCUUCGGUUCAGAAUACCUCGGGGGGGGUUGUGAUACUGGCGGAUAUGUGCGAACCCAGCAUGGAUUGUCUGCGGAAGGAUCGGCGCGCGUCUGAUUAGCUAGUUGGUUAGGUUACGGCCCACCAAGGCGACGAUCAGUAGCUGGUCUGAGAGGAUGAUCAGCCACACUGGGACUGAGACACGGCCCAGACUCCUACGGGAGGCAGCAGUGGGGAAUAUUGGACAAUGGGGGCAAGCCUGAUCCAGCCAUGCCGCGUGAGUGAUGACGGCCUUAGGGUUGUAAAGCUCCUUUAUCCGGGACGAUAAUGACGGUACCGGAAGAAUAAGCUCCGGCUAACUCCGUG
rnacentral:rRNA from 1 species